AUGGCCCUGCUCCGCGCCGGCGCCGCCCCAGCCGGAAAGGAAGCGCCGCGCCGGGGUCCGGGGCGGGCCCGGCGGCCGGGGGCGGGCCGGCUGCGGAGCGGGCGGGAGGCUGGCGGCGGCGGCGCGGGGCCGCUCCCGAGGCCCCUGCUCGGCCGCGGCUCGCCGGUGAGGGGACGCCUGGCGCGGGGGCCGGAGGGAGGCCUGCCCGCGCCGCCCUGCCCGCGCUCGCUGCUGCUCUGCGCCCUUCUCCUGCCCCCGUUCACUCGUAACAGCGCCCGGUCGCGCGGUUCGGGGCGCUCGGUGCUGCGGGCAGCGCGUUGUGCCGGCGCGCCGCCCCCGGCCGGAGCCUGCCCCUCGGCCUGCGGCGGGCCGGGCUCCGCGGCGGGCCCGGGCGGCGGUGUGCCGCCUCGCUCUAGGCUGGUGUUACGGCGCCGUGCCAAUCGCGGCAGGCGUAGGAAAUUGUGGUUAGAAACCAGCAGAAAAUGCGUAUGUUAUCCUUCAGGGUUUGGUGUGAACUGCCUUCAGUCCAGCUCAGCUCUGCAAUCCUUGUGUCAGGAACAAGUGGUUACAUCUUGGGCUUGCAGAGUUUUUGCCAUUUGUGAUAAAAAGGCAAGUGUUUUUCCCAUGCCUACCCUGCUGUUUGUGGAGAAGGCCUGGUACCAGAAGUUUCAGUGUUUGAUGUCUCCCUUCCUUUAUAAAGGAAUGGAAAGGAUGACAAUGUUCAUGGAGCAAAGUUUAACUUCAGUCUGCAGUUUCACAUUUGGCCUUCCGAGCUCUAUACGUGCUGGAGAUAAAAUGAGACAGAACAAGCCAGAAAAAGAAAAAUUCUGCAACCCUGCUUAG
rnacentral:lncRNA from 1 species